GUCCACUAACUCGACCUCAGCCUCCCUCUCUUUGCUUGUCGAUACUCGACCUCAGCCCCAAAUUUCAGAUCUUCAUAAACCCAGAUGAAAUCUCCCUCUCACUCUCUCAGUCCCUCCCUCACCCUUCUCUGAGUUGUCUAUCUCUCUCUCCUUCCAUUACCAGCUCCUGCUCCAGUCUCGAUCUCCGAAUAUCGAAAUCCUCCUCCGCUCUCUCCGUCACGGAAUCAAAACUGAAGGUCAAGGCUUGACCGUUACUUUUUCUCAACGUCUCUCUCUCUCUCUCUCUCUCUCUCUCUCUCUCUCUCUCUCUCUCUGUGAUCAAAGCUUCUUCUUCUUCUUCUCUGCAAUACCCAGGUUCAAAGCUUGUUCCGGUGGUUGGUCAAUUUGUGUGCAGAAGCAAAUAGCCGGUGCGACUCUUUAUUCCGAUUCUUUCCUCUUCUUUGUUUCUUUUGUUUGCACAUGCAAACAUUCUUCAUGUUGGAGUGAGGCUGUUGAACUCCUCUGCUAAUCAGGCAGAAUAUCCUUAUGUAUCUGGCAAGAAAUACAGAAGACUUGAUUAUUGCAAAUUGUGUUUAUGUUUCUGUUGGACAAUUUGGAUUGUUUUCUGUUAACCAAUGUAUUCUGGACUCUUGAGUUUGUGUUGUAAACUGUAAAC